rnacentral:rRNA from 1 species
CCUACGGGCGGCUGCAGUGGGGAAUAUUGGACAAUGGGCGAAAGCCUGAUCCAGCCAUGCCGCGUGUGUGAAGAAGGCCUUCGGGUUGUAAAGCACUUUCAGUGGGGAAGAAAGCCUUGGGGCUAAUACCCUCGAGGAAGGACAUCACCCACAGAAGAAGCACCGGCUAACUCCGUGCCAGCAGCCGCGGUAAUACGGAGGGUGCGAGCGUUAAUCGGAAUUACUGGGCGUAAAGCGCGCGUAGGCGGUCUGAUAAGCCGGUUGUGAAAGCCCCGGGCUCAACCUGGGAACGGCAUCCGGAACUGUCAGGCUAGAGUGCAGGAGAGGAAGGUAGAAUUCCCGGUGUAGCGGUGAAAUGCGUAGAGAUCGGGAGGAAUACCAGUGGCGAAGGCGGCCUUCUGGACUGACACUGACGCUGAGGUGCGAAAGCGUGGGUAGCAAACAGGAUUAGAUACCCCUUAGUC